rnacentral:misc_RNA from 1 species
GAUUGAUUUAGAUAUGUCAAAGCUCCAGAAGACUUUAGAUGAACUUGAGGAAUUGAGAUUGUUGUUUUCCAAGGAGAAAAGAUCAAAUCUUCUGAAUCCAAAAUCAGAACUCUCAAGUCAAAAUUCAAACCUUCUGUUUUAAGUCAUAUGGUUACUUGAAAUCAAAACAUCUGCAGGACAGUGAAAAGAUUCUCGUGUCUAGUAUCUAUCAUGCUCUUUAUGAUGAAGAGAUAUGAUGAGGAAUCAAAAGGUGAAACUGGUUUCAAUGAAGAUAAUAAUUUGGCAAUGGAUGA